rnacentral:misc_RNA from 1 species
AAAUAAAUAAAAAAAGAAGAAUAAAAGAUAAGGAAAAAGCUGAUAGUGGUUUCUAUGAAAAUAAAGUUUACAUCCAUGCUGCAGGGCCCAUCACCUUGUUGGCGGUGGAUAUGGACUUCACAACAUGGAAGCAAACAUUCAUGUCAUGGAAGGCUAUAACACUAUUUUAAUAUAGGAAAAAUAAUCUACUCAUAAACAUGAAAAUAGUUAUUAUGGCCCCAUCUAUACUUCUAUAGCAAACUUUAAACUUUUAAGCAUCAUCUCUUGAUCCAAGAACCAAAUUUAGGAGGUAAAAAGAAAGGACAGAAAAUGUGAAAACAACAACAAUUACUGACCAAAAUUGGACAGCUUAAAAAUGUUGAAUGGUAAUAUCAAAGAAACAAAUACUUUUCACACUUAUGCAAUAUAUAUUUAUAAGAGUUCACAAAAGAGAAAAACUAUCAACAACAACAACAAUUACAAUAACCAUUAUUCACUGAUAUCGCAUAUCAGAGCAAUAACAAGCUGUUGUUUUACCUGG